GGGGAUGCAGCUCAUUUGUAGAGCUUUUGUCUUGCAUGCAGGAGACCCUGGAUUCAAUCUCCAGUACCACCA
rfam:Fukomys damarensis contig59516, whole genome shotgun sequence.